ensembl:lncRNA
UGUGUUACUUCUACAUAACAUAAAAAUACAGGAUUUUACUUUGAGAUGUCACCAUAUAAUGUGGUUGUAUGCACUUAACACUUAAGGCCUGAUUUGGGAUAAUUCUGCACCUCCAAUAUCUAUUCUUCCUUAUCACUGGCAAAUGGCUGUUGUAAGAUGCUUUUAAUAUUUGCAGGAUCAGGCCCUAGGUCUUCUGUAAUAUAUUUGUAAUUGAAACAGUUUCACACAUCUCAGGUGCAUAACAAGGCUAAAGGCAGGGUAUUUCCAGUAGCCACGCAGUAUAAUUGUUCUCACGACUGCAAGCCUGAAACAAUAUUGUAUCUAUACAAAUAAUAUUUGUAAAACAAAACAUUUUUUGAUUGGGGAUAUAACGUAGAAUGUGAAAUAGUGACUAUAAGAUGAAAUUUUGCUUCUAUUUGCGCUCUGUUGGUUUUUUUUUAAUUUAUUUAUUUUUUAAAAAAUUAUGAAGGGAAAAAUAUUGCAAGAAUCCCAUGGCAGCAAGGAAUUUGUUACCAUAGUAGAAAAAGAAUUUUAUGCAAAACAUGACAUUUGCUGCCUCGAGCCUUUUUAAUGCAAAUACAGAUUGCACUAGAACAGUGCUGAAAAAAAAACCAGAUUUGUGCUUUAAAAAUAUAAAUAUAGUCUGAAUUUAGAUGAGGAUUACUUCAAAGUAGUAACGUGAGAGAACAGAACAUUAACCAUUCUGUGCAUGUUUAAACAAACCAUUAAAUGAAAUGGUAUAUCAGUUUUGUUGUAUCUCAACUGGAUUGUUCUAAAGGUAGCUUUCUAAAUAACUGAUAUGUCAGAAUGCCCUGAUUUCAGGAAGCCCUGAAAUAGCGCAAUUUACCUUUAUGGUAGCUUUAACACAGUUGCAGAGUGUAUCACUUCUGUGGCUUUUGUACUUCUGAUACUGAAAUGAAUCAGUUGAAUUCAUUAUAAAUCAUGCACUGAUUUAGGAACACAAUCAAUGCACUAUCAGCAGACAGAAGUCAAUUUAUAUAAAAGCCUGUAGCAAAAAUACCUGUUUGGCAGAAGUGGUAUUUAUGAGGUCGCUCUUUUGUUCUUUGCUUCCUGUCAGAUUUUCUUAGAGACAUGCCAUGUUCUGGUAUCACCUCAUGAACCUCUUAAGAAGCAGCACUCCUUGUGUUAGCAUUUGAAAUAUUUUGCAUACAGUAUCUUCAUUAAACUUCUAAUAUGAAUGAAUAUUUAGUGUCCUUUUAAAGGUGCGAUAGAAACAGAUUAUAUCACAUGUUUAAAGUCAGGACUUCCUGCUGGAAUAGAAUAUGGAACUCCAUCCUUGAGUUUUAAAUGAAAGACCACUUUUGUUGUAAAUGUGUUGAUUUUUUUAAAAAAUCAUUAUUUUGUGCUGGGCUUUUAAUAACUAAUACAAAAAUAUACAACAUAAUCCAGAAUAGUUGUUUAACACCGGCAUUACAUAUUUGUCCUGUCAUUAAAGAAUUAAAGUUAAACUCAGUCUCAGAAAAGAAAUUCUGGUUUCAGUUCUGUUAAUGAAAAAUUACUGAAAUCAGUUUUUUAAUCAGAAGAUAACAUGAAACAAUAAAUAAUCGUAUGCGUAUCAAACACCAGAAUGUCUUUGAAAAUUAUAGUGGCUUCUUGAUAUAGACUUGGGGAUACUUCAUGAUCAUUAUAAUUGGAAAAUUUCUCUUAGUAUCCACUGAAGUAAACCUAUAUUUGUAGCAAAGACAAGCUAGAGAAACUUUCCAACUAUAAGGGUAGUGAUACACUAAAAUAUGCUUCCCAUGGGAGUUGUUAAAUUUCCAUUAUAGAAGUUCUAAGAAGAGGUUUAUGAAACAUCUCAUAGGGAUGGACUGUAUAUUUCAUAUUGCCUGUGUGCAGAGAUGAGUGAUCUUUUGAAAUCUCUUCCAGAUCUACAUUUCUCUGAUUCUUUAUCUAAAAUACUUAGUAUCCACUAAGAGCCUUUCAGAAUAUUUAAAGACAUCCAUGAUGUUUGAUUUAUGAUGGGGAUAUAAAGUUAUAUUCUUUAAGCUUAACUAAAAAACAGAUCCCAGAAAUAUAAAAUCUAAGAUACAAAAAAUGGUUGCAAUAAGUAUAUUUGGUCUUGGAUUUUUUUAAUGGUGACAGAGUCACAAUAGUCAGAUUUGAUUUAUGCUGCUAAAGAUAACCUCUCGUUCCUUGGUUUUAUUUGUAUGAAGUUGCCACAGCAGGUAAGAGGACAUUAUUUAUGUCAAGGCAAAACAAAGAAUAGCAAGGAGCUAAGGAAACCAAGACUCAAUUUACUGUUCUUCUGGGAUGCACUGCCUUUCUUUCUACCAAUUUUGGUAGAAUUUUUUGUGACUUAUGCUUAGACCUUUAUUUGUCCUUGAAUUAGCUUAUCAUAUCUUGUGCAUACCAAACUUAUACUUAAAAAUCAGUUUAUACUGAAAAAUAACUCAUAAAGCUUAUUUCAGACUAUUUUCUAGCUUUGUCCUCUUGAUGUGAAAAGCAGAGAUCUGACCUCCCCACAAUUUGUAAUUAGUUCACUUUUUAAAUUGUGCUUCCAUUUUAGUUUCUUGCAGUGUGCCACAGUUAAGGUUACUGCUCAAUUUCUGUGUAAGCUCUUCUGACUAAAUAUUGCAGUCUUUAAAAGGGGAAUUAAUCUAUUUCUAUUUUUCAUGUGCAGUUCUCUAUCGAGAGUAUUUUCUCCUGAAAGAUUGAAGAUAAUACAGCUCUGUCAGAUAUGACAACUUAAAAAUUUAAAGACUUGCCAUAGUUUCCUGAUGAGACUGGAAUAUUGUUUCAAGCAGGAUUUGGCUGCAGAAUACAAGUAUAGUUUAUGCUAUAAGUGUCAGUAAGCUGCAGUAUUCUUCAACAAAGAAAUACCUUUGAUGGCUUUAAGGAAGUUGGUUGCACUGUCUUUGGUAAAGGAGGAGGGAGAUAAAAGGGACAGUUUCAGAGUGAGUCAUGUUGUCCUAGGGAUGUACUUUCCUUUCUUCCUCAGUAAAUUACAUAAGCCGUACUAGAGAGAGAACAGCUUAUGCACAAAUUCAUGAGGCAUUAUUUUGAAGUAUACCAGUAGACCACAAAAUUGCAUAAUCUUUGCCUGAUAAUCUAGAAACUGAAUUAUUUGAUGUCUACUUUGGAGUACUUCAUAGCUGUCCAUUCCCUUGAUCCCCUUAACAGAAGUUGAUGUUACCAAGAAAGAUAACUGUGUUAGCUUCCUUUAAGGAUAACGAUCCAUUAUAUUUCUAGAACUGAAAAAAUGGCAUGUGCUGUUCAAAGAUGUUUUCUUCUCCAUUCCAUGCUUCUCUAUGAAUCCUGGCUCUUACAUGACCUUUCAGUGGACUUGCUCACCUCUGACCUGCUCCCCUGAUGGGGUUAGUAGGAUUAGUGUUGCUUGAAUAUGCUGAAUUUGGUCAGUGCAUAAUUGGACAAGUGCCACCUGAGCAAGCAAAAGAGUAAAUAAAACAGCUAGGGCUGGUUGAAAGAGGUUGGGAUAGUUUACUUUGUAGGAGGUCAUUGGAUUGAGCCAUUACAGGCAAUUUUAAGCCUAUGUGCCAAGUUUCAGACCUUCACCCAUUUUGACACAGCAAAAGCAAAUUGAUGUUUGGAUGGGGUUUUUUUGUUGUUGUUUUUUUGGUUGGUUGGGGUUUUUUUUUGUUGGGGGGGGUUUUUUGGUUUUGGGGUUUUUUUAUUUUAACUGAAUUUUUGUCCAAUGGAUUCUAGUGCUUUGCAUUUAAAUACCUUAUAUUUGGGUACAUCCUUAAUCCUGGAAAUCUGACAACUAACUUCAGAAGUAUUACAUCAGUAUAUGGAUGUGGAAAAGAUACAUUUCUUCAAAAAUACCCCCCCAAAAAAGUCUACCACAUGUAAACUUCUGGGAGACAGUUUUUAGAUUUACAAUAUUAAAUUCAAUGCAGUAAAUCCUUCCAGUGAAGAGAUUUAUUGCAACUAUUGCUUUCCUAGAAGAGGCUUGAAGAGGGAGAGGUAAUAUCUCGCUUUUUUAAUGAGGUCAGUAUUGUAGGGAUGAUCUGGAAAAUGUUUAGGUGGACUCUGUACAAAGUGCAAGUGUACAAAGUAACUACAGUUACUGCAGUUACUAGAUGCCUCCCAAAUGUCUUUCCCAUCUAGCUUUCGUGAAAUAGUACGAACAGCCAUAAGAGCAUCACUAAAAAUCGUGUAGACUUCCACCUAAAUAGAACUUCUGACAUCUACUGUAAUGCCUUGCAAAGUUGGAUCCAUCUGUGCAACAGCUUUGUUCUUGAUGAGAUGUGUGAUUUGGAUGAAGCUGUGAAUCAAAAGUGAAGUGUCAGUUAAUGUAAAGCAUGACUUUCUCCACAUGUUUAAAACUCCGAGGACCUUUUGAUACCAAAUUACCCAAGUGUAUUCACUCUCUGGUUCCACAGCCAUCUCCUUUGCACUUUGACAUUUAACCAGAAGAGAUGCCCACUUUUAAUUUCAUUUCAGAUCACAUGUAGAAAUAAGAUUCCUGCAUCAUAGUUUCCUAUAUGCAGAAUAACAGUUUGUAUCUGUAAAUGUGUUUAUAGAGAAUGUUACGUAGCUAAGGUUGAGUUUUUAGUCAGAAUGGUAAGUUAACUGCUUACGUGUUGUGUUUGGUUACAUAUUGGAAGUGCAAGGGAAUUUGGUGUGGUGCUUUAAGAGUUCACAACAUAAUUAAUGCAGGUGUCAAUUAACUUGUGAUGCCAAGAUGAAUUUUCUGCUGUGAAGUUUCAGUUUACCAGAUGUGCUGUUUACUUACUCCAAGAUUGGGGAAUGCCUCCCUAGUAGUUUUACAAAUUACCUUUCUUAAGAAAUUUCCACACAGUUACAGGCUUAUGUAUUAGUGAAUUUCUGCCACUUCAAGAUUUAAAGAAAUUAUUCGAAUUUUGCUGUUUGUGAAAACAUCCUUUGCUUGAGUGGCUGUAGAAUUGCAAUUAGAGUAUCAGGAAGAUGUAGAGGGAGCUAGUUCACUCAGUAAAAUGCACUUCUGUCUAGAGCUCAAGCCAUACAUAGAAACAGUAUAUCUAAUGCCAUCCUUUCUGGAGGGAUCUAAUAUGUAAAAGCUUGUGCUGGUUCUCUGCCAAGUAAACUGUCAUCCUGUGAGAUCAGAUGAAUUUGCCCACCUGUAAGUGUUGUUUCUCUUGAACAAACCUGGCCCACAAUUUUGUUGUUCGCUUCUGCCUGAGAUGCAUUACUGUUUAUAUCCUAACUCUGUAAUUAAUUCUUUCUUCAAUUAUUCUAAUGUAUUUUGUUUCACAGUAUACUUAUUCUGAAUUUAGUCUUGCUAUGCAUAAUUUAUUUAUUACUUGCAGUGUUACAUAAAAUUUCCUCCUGAUUGCA